rnacentral:rRNA from 1 species
AUUGAACGCUGGCGGCAGGCCUAACACAUGCAAGUCGAACGAGUGGCGGACGGGUGAGUAAUGUCUGGGAAACUGCCCGGUAGUGGGGGAUAACUACUGGAAACGGUAGCUAAUACCGCAUACCAUCAGAUGUGCCCAGAUGGGAUUAGCUAGUAGGUGGGGUAACGGCUCACCUAGGCGACGAUCCCUAACUGGUCUGAGAGGAUGACCAGUCACACUGGAACUGAGACACGGUCCAGACUCCUACGGGAGGCAGCAGUGGGGAAUAUUGGACAAUGGGCGCAAGCCUGAUGCAGCCAUGCCGCGUGUAUGAAGAAGGCCUUCGGGUUGUAAAGUACUUUAAGCGAGGAGGCGUUACUCGCAGAAGAAGCACCGGCUAACUCCGUGCCAGCAGCCGCGGUAAUUC